AGAGUUUGAUCCUGGCUCAGAACGAACGCUGGCGGCGUGCCUAAUACAUGCAAGUCGAGCGAGAAAAGGGGGGCAACUCCCUGAGUACAGCGGCGCACGGGUGAGUAACACGUAGGUAACCUACCUCCGAGCCCGGGAUAACCUACCGAAAGGUGGGCUAAUACCGGAUAUGACCACGGGAGUCUCGGCUCCUGCGGUGAAAGAUGGCCUCUGCUUGCACGCUAUCACUCGAAGAGGGGCCUGCGCGCCAUUAGCUAGUUGGCGGGGUAACGGCCCACCAAGGCUCUGAUGGCUAGCUGGUCUGAGAGGAUGGCCAGCCACACUGGGACUGAAACACGGCCCAGACUCCUACGGGAGGCAGCAGUAGGGAAUAUUGCGCAAUGGGCGAAAGCCUGACGCAGCGACGCCGCUUGGGUGAUGAAGGCCUUCGAGUCGUAAAGCCCUGUCGAGGGGGACGAACCGGUUGCGACCGAAUACGUCGCGACCCUGACGGUACCCCUAAAGGAAGCACCGGCUAACUCCGUGCCAGCAGCCGCGGUAAUACGGAGGGUGCGAGCGUUGUUCGGAAUCACUGGGCGUAAAGCGCGUGUAGGCGGCCCGCUAAGUCUGAUGUGAAAGCCCGAGGCUCACCCUCGGAAGUGCAUUGGAAACUGGCGGACUGGAGUCCCGGAGAGGAGGGUGGAAUUCCUGGUGUAGCGGUGAAAUGCGUAGAUAUCAGAGGAACACCGGUGGCGAAGGCGGCCCUCUGGACGGUGACUGACGCUGAGACGCGAAAGCGUGGGGAGCAAACAGGAUUAGAUACCCUGGUAGUCCACGCUGUAAACGAUGAGCACUAGGUGUCGCGGGUAUGACCCCUGCGGUGCGCCGCUAACGCAU
rnacentral:rRNA from 1 species